rnacentral:rRNA from 1 species
UACGUAGGGUGCGAGCGUUGCCCGGAUUUAUUGGGCGUAAAGGGCGCGUAGGCGGCCACGCACGUCCGUUGUGAAAUCGCCCGGCUCAACUGGGCGGGGUCGGCGGAUACGGCGUGGCUGGAGCAAGCUAGGGGGCAAUGGAAUUCCCGGUGUAGUGGUGGAAUGCGUAGAUAUCGGGAGGAACACCAGUGGCGAAGGCGGUUGCCUGGAGCUUUGCUGACGCUGAGGCGCGACAGCGUGGGGAGCAAACAGG